CCUACGGGAGGCAGCAGUGAGGAAUAUUGGUCAAUGGGCGCGAGCCUGAACCAGCCAAGUAGCGUGAAGGAUGACUGCCCUACGGGUUGUAAACUUCUUUUAUAAAGGAAUAAAGUGAGGCACGUGUGCCUUUUUGUAUGUACUUUAUGAAUAAGGAUCGGCUAACUCCGUGCCAGCAGCCGCGGUAAUACGGCGGAUCCGCGCGUUAUCCGGAUUUCGUGGGUUUAAAGGGAGCGUAGAUGGGUUGUUAAGUAAGUUGUGAAAGGUUGCGGCUCAACCGGAAAAUUGCAAUUGAUACUGGCAGUCUUGAGUACAGUUGAGGUAGGCGGAAUUCGUGGUGUAGCGGUGAAAUGCUUAGAUAUCACGAAGAACUCCGAUUGCGAAGGCAGCUUACUAAACUGCCACUGACAUUGAUGCUCGAAAGUGUGGGUAUCAAACAGGAUUAGAUACCCUUGUAGUC
rnacentral:rRNA from 1 species